rnacentral:rRNA from 1 species
AGUCGACGGAAGGCCCAGCUUGCUGGGUACUCGAGUGGCGAACGGGUGAGUAACACGUGGGUGAUCUGCCCUGCACUCUGGGAUAAGCCUGGGAAACUGGGUCUAAUACCGGAUAUGACCAACUGUCGCAUGGUGGUUGGUGGAAAGCUUUUGCGGUGUGGGAUGGGCCCGCGGCCUAUCAGCUUGUUGGUGGGGUAAUGGCCUACCAAGGCGACGACGGGUAGCCGACCUGAGAGGGUGAUCGGCCACACUGGGACUGAGACACGGCCCAGACUCCUACGGGAGGCAGCAGUGGGGAAUAUUGCACAAUGGGCGCAAGCCUGAUGCAGCGACGCCGCGUGAGGGAUGACGGCCUUCGGGUUGUAAACCUCUUUCACCAGGGACGAAGCGCAAGUGACGGUACCUGGAGAAGAAGCACCGGCCAACUACGUGCCAGCAGCCGCGGUAAUACGUAGGGUGCGAGCGUUGUCCGGAAUUACUGGGCGUAAAGAGCUCGUAGGCGGUUUGUCGCGUCGUCUGUGAAAUUCUGCAACUCAAUUGCAGGCGUGCAGGCGAUACGGGCAGACUUGAGUACUACAGGGGAGACUGGAAUUCCUGGUGUAGCGGUGAAAUGCGCAGAUAUCAGGAGGAACACCGGUGGCGAAGGCGGGUCUCUGGGUAGUAACUGACGCUGAGGAGCGAAAGCGUGGGUAGCGAACAGGAUUAG